UUGGGCCUACGGGAGGCAGCAGUGAGGAAUAUUGGUCAAUGGGAGAGAUCCUGAACCAGCCACGCCGCGUGAGGGAAGACGGCCCUAUGGGUUGUAAACCUCUUUUGUCGGAGAACAAAACCCGGGACGAGUCCCGGACUGCGUGUAUCCGAAGAAAAAGCAUCGGCUAACUCCGUGCCAGCAGCCGCGGUAAUACGGAGGAUGCGAGCGUUAUCCGGAUUUAUUGGGUUUAAAGGGUGCGCAGGCGGGAGAUCAAGUCAGCGGUAAAAUGUCGGGGCUCAACCCCGGCCGGUCGUUGAAAAUGG
rnacentral:rRNA from 1 species